rnacentral:rRNA from 1 species
AACGAACGCUGGCGGCAUGCCUAACACAUGCAAGUCGAACGGUACCUCCGGGGAUAGUGGCGCAGGGGUGCGUAACGCGUGGGAACCUGCGCUUAGGCUCCGAAUAACUCUGAGAAAUUUGUGCUAAUCUCGGAUAAUGUCUUCGGAUCAACGAUUUAUCGCCUUUGGGUGGGCGCGCGUUGCAUUGGCUAGUGGGUGUGGUAAGGGCCUACCAAGGCGUAGAUCCAUAGCUGGACAGUGAGGCUGAUCAGCGACACUGGGCCUGGGACACGGCCCAGACUGCUGGGAGAAGCGGGGAAGAUUGAUCUAUGGGAAUGGGCUUGAUGCAGAACCAGCGAGGGCGGGAGAGCGAUGUAGGCGUUAGAGAUGGAAAGCACUUUGACCCGAGAUUAUUAUGACGGUACCUGGAGAAUAAGCCCCGGCUAACUCCGUG